GAUGAAGAACGUAGCGAAAUGCGAUAAGUAAUGUGAAUUGCAGAAUUCAGUGAAUCAUCGAAUCUUUGAACGCACCUUGCGCUCCUUGGUAUUCCGAGGAGCAUGCCUGUUUGAGAGUCAUUAAUAUAUCAACCUUCACUUGUUGAAUGGUUUGGAUGUGGGGGUUUGCUGGUCUCUUAAAGGGUUCAGCUCCUCUAAAAUGCAUUAGCAGAACAAUCUGUUCAUUGGUGUGAUAACUAUCUACGCUCUUGAAUAAGAUGCAGUUCAGCUUUCUAACUGUCCUUGGACAAUUUAUCAUUUAUGUGACCUCAAAUCAGGUAGGACUACCCGCUGAACUUAAGCAUAUCAAUAAGCGGAGGA
rnacentral:misc_RNA from 1 species